rnacentral:sRNA from 1 species
CAUUGACUUUCUUCUGCAGAUUACCUGUUUCGUGAGUCUCUUGGGGUUAGACAUUAAACGUCAAGAGGUAAGUUGGUGCCAGGAUUAUAGUCUAUUUAAUUUGAGUCUAGAAUCUAGAGGAAGCAGCUAGCGGGUAUAACCUUUGUUCCCCUCUGUCCCCUCAGAAAAAUCGGCUAGACAUCUUUUGCUGUGUCAGAGGUGCUGAAGAUGGAACAAGCGUCCAGGCCUCAGAGAGCUAUUUGUUUCGCUUCUUCAAAAACUCCUAUUCUCCACUUCUGCUAAAGGACUGGAUGAGACCAAUUGUGAUAGCAAUAUUUGUGGGUGUUCUGUCAUUCAGCAUCGCAGUCCUGAACAAAGUAGAUAUUGGAUUGGAUCAGUCUCUUUCGAUGCCAGAUGACUCCUACGUGGUGGAUUAUUUCAAAUCCAUCAGUCAGUACCUGCAUGCGGGUCCGCCUGUGUACUUUGUCCUGGAGGAAGGGCACGACUACACUUCUCCCAAGGGGCAGAACAUGGUGUGCGGCGGCAUGGGCUGCAACAACGAUUCCCUGGUGCAGCAGAUAUUUAACGCGGCGCA